rnacentral:tRNA from 1 species
GGGGAAUUAGCUCAAAUGGUAAAGCGCUCGCUUUGCAUGCGAGAGGAAGCGGGAACAAUGACUGCAUUCUCCA